rnacentral:lncRNA from 1 species
AAGUUUGAAAGGAAGAGUGAACUCCUUUGCUUGACUUGGUGUUUAAUAGAGUCUGAAACAGGAGUGGAGCAGCUGGUGUGAAAUGCUUUUAAUGGCUUGGUCUGCUAAGGAGUUGUUGAGGUCUAAUCCUAUGUUUGUUUAUUCAGGGAUUUCAGGUGCAGAUAGAGGAAACCAAAAAUCCAAAAUGCAAGGCUUACCAAAUCCAAUCCACACUCUAAAGAAUAAUUUCUUGGUUAUCAGAAUUGCAUAAUGAUGUGGGAUGUGGCUGUCUGGGUGUUCAGAGGCAGAGAAAUGCAGAAACUGAAGUCAAGGAAGUCAUAGAAACUUGUGGCAGCAUUGUAAAUAUGAACAGAAGUACUUCAGUCCGAAAAUUUAAGAGUUCGGAAACAGCGGCAUGCACCAUUAAAGUUCAGCUCCUCACCCCCAUCAGUACUCUCUGACUCCCUCUUGGAUGCAGGACUGAGCAAUUUGGAGAAAGAAGGGACAGCUUUAAAAACAAGAAUGCGUUUCACACAGAGGAAUGGUACCACACUGACAGCUCUAGCAGAUAAAACGUGGGCAGCCUUCAAAUAGGUAAAGUGUUUGACUUGCUAAGGCUGUCAAUCUGGCACUUUUCACACAGAUUAAUUUUACUUUCUUUUUUCUUUUGCUUAAACAUCCCUUCGGGGCAACAGCUCUGGAAAAACACCACCAUCCUGCCUCUUCUCCAUGCACCUCCCAGGAGACCGGUGAUGAAAGCCAGGAGAGCAAAACAUGCAACUCUGAUGGGAUAUGAAAUGUGGGUGAUCGUGCCAUGAACCGCUGCAUCUUCCCGACAGUCAUGCUGCGCAUUAAACACAUCAGGAUCUAUAUGUCUGCUGUCACAAUGUGGUUUUAUCACAUAUUUUUAUUUCCUUAGCACCUGAAUGGCAGCUUUAGAAAUCAAAUUACAGUCUGAGUGCUACAGGCUGCAGCCCCCUGACUAAGCUACUAAAUCAGACUUAAUUGAAACAACAAACAAGCCCAAAUAGCCGUUCCUUAGGAAAACGUUGCCCUUACAACACACUGCUUUUACUUCUAACUUAACUUGACUGGAUUUAUUGACUAGCUGGUAUUUCUGCUACUGCAUUUGAAGUCUAUCGAUUCUUAGAAAUAUGAAAUGAGUUUCAAAGAGGUCAGAAUGUGACUUUGUGUCCAAGAGAGUCACAAAGACAUUCAGAAAUACUAACGGGAGCAGCGGGAACUACAGAAACCUAAAUGAGGUUUCUGGUUCACACCAACAGAGAUCAGUGGUUUUUGAAGGGCGCUGCCCAUUGGCAGCCAGGUGCCUUGCCCAAAAAGAGCACAGGGGCUGAACCACUUCCCAGCAAACUGGUACCACACUGCAAGAAAAUGCUGCCCAGGCUAUCAUUCCAACUACCACCCCCUCCACUAACACACAUUUUUGGGAAGGAAGAUGCUCUGAGGACACAAGGUUGAAAUGGCACUCCUUCAGCACAGAGAGAGGUAUGUGCUGGCAGGGAAGUCUGGAAGGAAAAUGCUCUAAACAGGUAGCACAGAAUUUGCAGAAAAGCAGGAUGCCUACACACUCCCAAAGGCAUUGAGCUAAAACAGAUCGUUACCAAAGACUGGAGAGAAUUCAAAUGUUUGGAAUAAACCUACAUUGCAAAAAAGGAAAAUUAGUAGAGGAAGAGGCUGAGGAUACCAGAAGUAGCCCUCAUUUCUGAAAGUACAGAAGUGGAUGUAUUCAGCGAGAAACCAUUUCUCAAAAUGAUUUGCAUUCCAUGUUCAGAAAUCUUCGUUGAGGGCUGAAAAGAAUUUGAGGUUUAUGUCUGCAUCAUCUGGAAUGAACAUUUACAUUCUACAAAGAAAAGAAACUGUAUUCUUCAGAUGUGACCCCUCUGAGGCAGGUAACAAAUAAGAUAUAUUUGACAAAGGAAGAAAAGCUUUCUCACAAAUCUAUGGUUUUUCUAGCCCCCAAAUGGCUGCAGUCUGCCUUCAAAACUCUCUUUCAGGCUGAUGCUUGCUUCACGAUCUGUUAGUUUUGUCUAAACUACUCUUUCUAAUGGUAGUCCAGCUUUUUCCUUCUGACCUCUGCUGCACUCAGCAGGUAUCAGGCAACAGUCAUCUGGUCCUUCUGGCAUUGUCGUCUCCAUAUCUGUGUGAGCCACUACCUCUCCUGCUGCCAGGUCAUUCUAGGAAGUACUUGGAGAAAAGACAGCAUAGGGGAAGACAAUGUGUAGGAUUACUGACAUGUUUGUUAUGUUUACUGCUGUUAAUGUGUGCUUUUACUGAAAAACAGAGCUCAUCUAUUACGCUCAGCUUAAAAAUC